UACGUAGGUCCCGAGCGUUGUCCGGAUUUAUUGGGCGUGAAGCGAGCGCAGGUGGUUUAUUAAGUCUGGUGUAAAAGGCAGUGGCUCAACCAUUGUAUGCAUUGGAAACUGGUAGACUUGAGUGCAGGAGAGGAGAGUGGAAUUCCAUGUGUAGCGGUGAAAUGCGUAGAUAUAUGGAGGAACACCGGUGGCGAAAGCGACUCUCUGGCCUGUAACUGACACUGAGGCUCGAAAGCGUGGGGAGCAAACAGG
rnacentral:rRNA from 1 species